rnacentral:rRNA from 1 species
GCAUAUCAAUAAGCGGAGGAAAAGAAACCAACAGGGAUUGCCCCAGUAACGGCGAGUGAAGCGGCAAAAGCUCAAAUUUGAAAUCUGGCCUCCUACGGGGGUCCGAGUUGUAAUUUGUAGAGGAUGCUUCGGGUGUGGCCGCCGUCUAAGUUCCUUGGAACAGGACGUCAGAGAGGGUGAGAAUCCCGUCUUGGGCGGCCGGUCCGCGCCCGUGUGAAGCUCCUUCGAAGAGUCGAGUUGUUUGGGAAUGCAGCUCUAAGCGGGUGGUAAAUUUCAUCUAAAGCUAAAUACUGGUCGGAGACCGAUAGCGCACAAGUAGAGUGAUCGAAAGGUUAAAAGCACCUUGAAAAGGGAGUUAAACAGCACGUGAAAUUGUUGAAAGGGAAGCGCUUGCGGCCAGACUCGGGGGCGGGGUUCAGCGGGUGCUCGUCGCCCGUGCACUCCCCGUCUCCCGGGCCAGCAUCAGUUUCGACGGCCGGUCAAAGGCCUCCGGAAUGUGUCGUCUCUCGGGACGUCUUAUAGCCGGGGGUGCAAUGCGGCCCGUCGGGACUGAGGAACGCGCUUCGGCUCGGAUGCUGGCGUAAUGGCCGUAAGCGGCCCGUCUUGAAACACGGACCAAGGAGUCUAACAUCCACGCGAGUGUUCGGGUGUCAAACCCGUGCGCGCAGUGAAAGCGAACGGAGGUGGGAGCCUUAGGGCGCACCAUCGACCGAUCCUGAAGUCUUCGGAUGGAUUUGAGUAGGAGCGUGGCCGUUGGGACCCGAAAGAUGGUGAACUAUGCCUGAAUAGGGUGAAGCCAGAGGAAACUCUGGUGGAGGCUCGCAGCGGUUCUGACGUGCAAAUCGAUCSUCAAAUUUGSGCAYAGGGGCGAAAGACUAAUCGAACCAUCUAGUAGCUGGUUCCUGCCGA